rnacentral:rRNA from 1 species
CCUACGGGAGGCAGCAGUGAGGAAUAUUGGUCAAUGGUCGGGAGACUGAACCAGCCAAGCCGCGUGAGGGAGGAAGGUACAGAGUAUCGUAAACCUCUUUUGUCAGGGAACAAAGCGGGGACGUGUCCCCGGAUGAGUGUACCUGAAGAAAAAGCAUCGGCUAACUCCGUGCCAGCAGCCGCGGUAAUACGGAGUAUGCGAGCGUUAUCCGGAUUUAUUGGGUUCAAAGGGUGCGCAGGCGGUCUGUUAAGUCAGCGGUAAAAGCCCGGGGCUCAACCCCGGCCCGCCGUUGAAACUGGCAGUCUCGAGUUGGAGAGAAGUAUGCGGAAUGCGCGGUGUAGCGGUGAAAUGCAUAGAUAUCGCGCAGAACUCCGAUUGCGAAGGCAGCAUGCCGGCUCCACACUGACGCUGAGGCACGAAAGCGUGGGUAUCGAACAGGAUUAGAUACCCGGGUAGUC